UGACAUGCUCGAGCUACUCCCGAAAUCCCCUUUUCCCCUCCCUAACUAUAAUAAUUAGCCUUUAUGA